UAACGGCUUAGUUAGGGGGCGGAGAUUAAUUGAUUGAGAGGAGAGCGUGUUGCUCUUUUUUCUAUUAAAACCGAGGCCUUUUGAGGGGACUUUCUAGUUGAUUUUGGUGUCGAUUGUCCUCCAAGCAGCCUUGGACAUUG
rfam:Morus notabilis contig2011, whole genome shotgun sequence.